UGAAGAAGCUGGAUUGAGCUUGGUGGCAGCUCCAUAUUGGGAGGGUGUGAGUGUGGGGGGACUUAUUAGCACAGGAGCACAUGGAAGCUCAUGGUGGGGAAAAGGUGGAGCUGACCAUGAUCACGUCAUUGGCCUUAGUCUUGUAGUCCCUGCAAAGGAGUCUGAAGGGUAUGCAAAAAUUAUCAGAAUUGAAGCCCAAGAUCCUCUGCUUAAGGCAGCCAAAGUAUCUAUAGGAUUAUUGGGUGUCAUCUCCAAGGUGAAGUUGUCCCUGGAGCCUGCAUUCAAAAGAAGCAUAACAUACAAUUUCACGGAUGAUGCCCACAUAGAGGAUAUGUUCAUAGAUCAUGGGAAGAAAUAUGAAUUUGGCGAUAUUACUUGGUACCCAUCAAGGAAAACAGCAGUCUAUAGAUAUGAUUUCAGAGUUCCUCUCACUGCCUCCGGUAAUGGAGAAUUCGACUUUCUUGGAUUUCAAUCAAAUUCUAUUGUGGUAUCACAAUCAACUAGAGCAGCAGAGAAAUCGUUGGAGAAAGCAAAUAAUGUGAAUGGAAAGUGCUUAUUGGCAAUUUCUUUUGUGCGGUUUAAGAAGUUGGUAGCCAAUGGAUUGAAGAAUGGCCUAAUCUUUACUGGCUAUCCAGUAGUGGGUCAUCAGAGGAAAAUGCAGACUUCAGGUUCUUGUUUAUAUUCCCCUGCAACAAGAAUCGAUACCUCUUGUGCUUGGGAUCCAAGAAUUAAAGGGCUCUUCUUUUACGAAACAACUGCAAUAUUUCCUGCUUCAAAGUUUGGAG
rnacentral:misc_RNA from 1 species